rnacentral:rRNA from 1 species
UGGGGAAUAUUGCACAAUGGGCGCAAGCCUGAUGCAGCAACGCCGCGUGAGGGACGACGGCCUUCGGGUUGUAAACCUCUUUUGGCAGGGAAGAAGCGAAAGUGACGGUACCUGCAGAAAAAGCACCGGCUAACUACGUGCCAGCAGCCGCGGUGAUACGUAGGGUGCAAGCGUUGUCCGGAAUUAUUGGGCGUAAAGAGCUCGUAGGCGGUUUGUCGCGUCUGCUGUGAAAACCCGAGGCUCAACCUCGGGCCUGCAGUGGGUACGGGCAAACUAGAGUGCGGUAGGGGAGAUUGGAAUUCCUGGUGUAGCGGUGGAAUGCGCAGAUAUCAGGAGGAACACCGAUGGUGUAGACGGCUUGCUAGACCAUAACUGACGCUGAGGCACGAAAGCGUGGGUAGCAAACA